AGAGUUUGAUCCUGGCUCAGGAUGAACGCUAGCGGCAGGCUUAACACAUGCAAGUCGAGGGGUAUAGUUCUUCGGAAUUAGAGACCGGCGCACGGGUGCGUAACGCGUAUGCAAUCUACCUUUUACAGAGGGAUAGCCCAGAGAAAUUUGGAUUAAUACCUCAUAGUAUGUGAGAAUGGCAUCAUUUUCACAUUAAAGUCACAACGGUAAAAGAUGAGCAUGCGUCCCAUUAGCUAGUUGGUAAGGUAACGGCUUACCAAGGCUACGAUGGGUAGGGGUCCUGAGAGGAAGAUCCCCCACACUGGUACUGAGACACGGACCAGACUCCUACGGGAGGCAGCAGUGAGGAAUAUUGGUCAAUGGGCGCAAGCCUGAACCAGCCAUGCCGCGUGCAGGAUGACGGUCCUAUGGAUUGUAAACUGCUUUUGCACAGGAAGAAACACUCGGACGUGUCCGAGCUUGACGGUACUGUGAGAAUAAGGAUCGGCUAACUCCGUGCCAGCAGCCGCGGUAAUACGGAGGAUCCAAGCGUUAUCCGGAAUCAUUGGGUUUAAAGGGUCCGUAGGCGGUUUUGUAAGUCAGUGGUGAAAGCCCAUCGCUCAACGGUGGAACGGCCAUUGAUACUGCAAGACUUGAAUUAUUAGGAAGUAACUAGAAUAUGUAGUGUAGCGGUGAAAUGCUUAGAGAUUACAUGGAAUACCAAUUGCGAAGGCAGGUUACUACUAAUGGAUUGACGCUCAAGUGCGAAAGCGUGGGGAGCAAACAGGAUUAGAUACCCUGGUAGUCCCGCUGUAACGAUGGGUGCUAGAUGUC
rnacentral:rRNA from 1 species